GAGGUGAUACCUCAUUUUAGUUUUAAUUUGCAUUUCUCUAAUGAUUAGUGAUGUUGAGCAUCCUUUCAUGUGUUUGUUGGCAAUCUGUAUAUCUUCUUCGCAGAAAUGUUUAUUUAGGUCUUCUGCCUAUUUUUGGAUUGGGUUGGUUUUUUUUGAUAUUGAGCUGCUUGUAAAUUUUGGAGAUUAAUCCUUUGUCAGUUGCCUUACUUGCAAAUAUUUUCUCCCAUUCUGAGGGUUGUCUUUUCGUCUAGUUUAUGGUUUCCUUUGCUGUGCAAAAGCUUUUAACUUUCAUUAGGUCCCAUUUGUUUAUUUUUGUUAUUAUUUCCAUUUCUCUAAGAGGCAGGUCAAAAAGGAUCUUGCUGUGAUUUAUGUCAUAGAGUGUUCUGCCUAUGAGUUCCUCUAAGAGCUUUAUAGUGUCUGGCCUUACAUUUAGGUCUUUAAUCCAUUUUGAGUUUAUUUUUGUGUAUGGUGUAGGGAGUGGUCUAAUUUCAUUCUUUUACAUGUAGCUGUCCAGUUUUCCCAGCACCACUUAUUGAAAAGGCUGUCUUUUCUCCAUUGUAUACUCUUGCCUCCUUUAUCAAAAAUAAGGUGACCAUAUGUGCGUGGGUUUAUCUCUGGGCUUUCUAUCCUGUUCCAUUGAUCUAUAUUUCUGUUUUUGUGCCAGUACCAUACUAUCUUGAUUACUGUAGCAUUGUAGUAUAGUCUGAAGUCCAGGAGACUGAUUCCUCCAGCUCUGUUUUUCUUUCUCAAGAUUGCUUUGGCUAUGCAGGGUCUUUUGUGUUUCCAUACAAAUUGUGAAAUUUUUUGUUCUCGUUCUGUGAAAAAUGCCCGUGGUAGUUUGAUAGGGAUUGCAUUGAAUCUGUAGAUUGCUUUGGGUAGUAGAGUCUUUUUCACAAUGUUGAUUCUUCCAAUCCAAGAACAUGGUAUAUCUCUCCAUCUGUUUGUAUCAUCUUUAAUUUCUUUCAUCAGUGUCUCAUAGUUUUCUGCAUACAGAAAACUUUUGUCUCCUUAGGUAGGCUUAUUCCUAGGUAUUUAAUUCUUUUUGUUGCAGUGGUAAAUGGGAAUGUUUCCUUAAUUUCUCUUUCAGAUUUUUCAUCAUUAGUGUAUAGUAAUGCAAGAGAUUUCUCUGCAUUAAUUUUGUAUCCUGCUACUUUACCAGAUUCACUGAUUAACUCUUGUAGUUUUCUGGUAGCAUCUUUAGGAUUCUCUAUUUAUAGUCUCAUGUCAUCUGCAAACAGUGCCAGCUUUACUUUUUCUUUUCCGAUUUAGAUUCCUUUUGUUUCUUUUUCCUCUCUGAUAGCUGUGUCUAAACUUCCAAAACUAUGUUGAAUAAUACUGGUGAGAGUGGACAACCGUGUCUUGUUCCUGGUCUUAGAAGAAAUGGUUUCAGUUUUUCACCAUUGAGAACGACGUUGGCUGUUGGUUUGUCAUAUAUGGCCUUUAUUAUGUUGAGGUUCUCUCUGUGCCUACUUUCUGGAGGCUUUUUAUCAUAAAUGGGUGUUGAAUUUUGUCCAAAGCUUUUUCUGCAUUUAUUGAGAUGAUCAUGUUUUUUCUUCUUCAAUUUGUUAAUAAUGUUUAUCACAUUCAUUGAUUAGCGUAUAUUGAAGAAUCCUUGCAUUCCAUGGAUAAACCCCACUUGAUCAUGGUGUAUGAUCCUUUUAAUGUGCUGUUGGAUUCUGUUUGCUAGUAUUUUGUUGAGGAUUUUUGUAUCGAUGUUCAUCCGUGAUAUUGACCUUUAGUUUUCUUUCUUUGUGACAUCAUUGUUUGGUUUUGAUAUCAGGGUGAUGGUGGCCUCACAGAGUGAGUUUGGGAGUGUUCCUCCCUCUGCUAUAUUUUGCAAGAGUUUGAGAAGGAUAGGUGUUAGCUUUUCUCUAAAUGUUUGAUAGAAUUUGCCUGUGAAGCCAUCUGGUCCUGGGUUUUUGUUUGUUGGAAGAUUUUUAAUCACAGUCUCAAUUUCAGUGCUUGUGAUUGGUCUGUUUAUAUUUUCUAUUUCUUCCCGGUUCAGUCUCAGAAGGUUGUGCUUUUAUAAGAAUUUGUCCAUUUCUUCCAGGUUGUCCAUUUUAUUGGCAUAUAGUUGCUUGUAGUAAUCUUUCAUGAUCCUUUGUAUUUGUGCAGUGUCAGUUGUUACUUCUCCUUUGUCAUUUCUAAUUCUACUGAUUUGAGUCUUCUCCGUUUCUUUCUUGAUGAGUCUGGCUGAUGGUUUAUCAGUUUUGUUUAUCUUCUCAAAGAACCAGCUGUUAGCUUUAUUGAUCUUUGCUAUCAUUUCCUUCAUUUCUUUUUCAUUUAUUUCUGAUCUGAUCUUUAUGAUUUCUUUCCUUCUGCUAACUUUUGGGUUUUUUGUUCUUCUUUCUCUAAUUGCCUUAGGUGUAAGGUUAGGUUGUUUAUUUGAGAUGUUUCUUGUUUCUUGAGGUAGGAUUGUAUUGCUAUAAACUUCCCUCUUAGAACUGAUUUUGCUGCAUCCCAUAGGAUUUGGGUCAUCAUGUUUUCAUUGUCAUUUGUUUCUAGGUAUUUUCUGAUUCCCUCUUUGAUUUCUUUGGUGAUCUCUUGGUUAUUUAGUAGUGUACUGUUUAGCCUCCAUGUGUUUGGUUUUUUUACAGAUUUUUUCCUGUAAUUGAUAUCUAGUCUCAUAGCGUUGUGGUCGGAAAAGAUACUUGAUACGAUUUCAGUUUUCUUAAAAUUUACCAAGGCUUGAUUUAAGACCCAGUAUAUGAUCCAUCCUGGAGAAUGUUCCAUGAACACUUGAGAAGAAAGUGUAUUCUGUUGUUUUUGGAUGGAGUGUCUUAUAAAUAUCAAUUAAGCCCAUCUUGUUUAAUGUAUCAUUUAAAGCUUGUGUUUCCUUAUUUAUUUUCAUUUUGGAUGAUCUGUCCAUUGGUGAAAGUGGGGUGUUAAAGUCCCCUACUACGAUUGUGUUACUGUCGAUUUCCCCUUUUAUGGCUGUUAGCAUUUGCCUUAUGUGUUGUGCUCCUGUGUUGGGUGAAUAAAUAUUUACAAUUGUUAUACCUUCUUCUCGGAUCGAUCCCUUGAUCAUUAUGUAGUGUUCUUCUUUGUCUCUUUUAACAUUCUUUACUUUACCCUUUUUUUUUUUUUUUUUUUUUAUGCUGUACGCGGGCCUCUCACUGUUGUGGCCUCUCCCGUUGCGGAGCACAGGCUCCGGACGCGCAGGCUCAGCGGCCAUGGCUCACGGGCCCAGCCGCUCCACGGCAUGUGGGAUCCUCCCGGACCGGGGCACGAACCCUCGUCCCCUGCAUCGGCAGGCGGACUCUCAACCACUGCGCCACCAGGGAAGCCCAACAUUCUUUACUUUAAAGUCUGUUUUUUCUGAUGUGAGAAUCGCUCUUCCAGCUUUCUUUUGAUUUCCAUUUGCAUGGAAUAUCUUUUUCCAUCCCCUCACUUUCAGUCUGUAUGUGUCCCUAGGUCUGAAGUGGGUGUCUUGUAGACAGCAUAUAUAUGGGUCUUGUUUUUGUAUCCAUUCAGCCAGUCUAUGUCUUUGGUUGGAGCCCUUAAUCCAUUUACAUUUAAGGUAGUUAUCGAUAUGUAUGUUCCUAUUACCAUUUUCUUAAUUGUUUUGGGUUUGUUAUUGUAGGUCUUUUCCUUCUCUUGUGUUUCCUGCCUAGAGAAGUUCCUUUAACAUUUGUUGUAAAGCUGGUUUGGUGGUGCUGAAUUCUCUUAGCUUUUGCUUGUCUGUAAAGGUUUUAAUUUCUCCACUGAAUCUGAAGGAGAUCCUUGCCAGGUAAUCUUGGUUGUAGGUUUUUCCCUUUCAUCACUUUAAAUAUGUCCUGCCAGUCCCUCUGGCUUGCAGAGUUUCUGCUGAAAGAUCAGCUUUUAACCUUAUGGGGAUUCCCUUGUAUGUUUUUUGUUGUUUUUCCCUUGCUGCUUUUGAUACUUUUUCUUUGUAUUUAAUUUUUGAUACCUUGAUUAAUAUGGUCUUGGCGUGUUUCUCCUUGGAUUUAUCCUGUAUGGGACUCUCUGUGCUUCUUGGACUUGACUAUUUCCUUUCCAAUAUUAGGCAAGUUUUCAACUAUAAUCUCUUCAAGUAUUUUCUCAGUCCCUUUCUUUUUCUCUUCUUCUUCUGGGACCCCUAUAAUUUGAAUGUUGGUGCAUUUAAUGUUGUCCUAGAGGCCUCUGAGACUGUCCUCAAUUCUUUUCAUUCUUUUUUCUUUAUUCUGCUCUGUGGUAGUUAUUUCCACUAUUUUAUCUUCCAGUUCACUCAUCCAUUCUUCUGCCUCAGUUAUUCUGCUAUUGAUUCCUUCUAGAGAAUUUUUAAUUUCAUUUAUUGUGUUGUUCAUCAUUGUUUGUUUGCUCUUUAGUUCUUCUAGGUCCUUGUUAAUUACUUGUAUCUCCUCCAUUCUAUUUCCGAGAUUGUGGAUCAUCUUUACUAUCAUUACUCUGAAUUCUUUUUCAGGUAGACUGCCUAUUUCCUCUUCAUUUGUUUGGUCUGGUGGGCUUUUACUUUGCUUCUUUAUCAGCUGUGUGUUUCUCUGUCUUCUCAUUUUGCUUAACUCGCUGUGUUUGGGGUCUGCUUUUCACAGGCUCCAGGUUCAUAGUUCCCGUUGUUUUUGGUGUCUGCCCCCUGUGGCUAAGGUUGGUUCAGUUGGUUCAGUUGUGGUGAAUGAGGCUAGAUCUUGUCUCUCUAGUGGGCAGGACCACGUCUGAUGGUGUGUUUUGGGAUGUCUGUGACCUUAUUAUGGUUUUAGGCAGCCUCUCUGCUAAUGUGUGGGGUUGUGUUCCUGUCUUGCUAGUUGUUUGGCAUAGGGUGUCCAGCACUGUAGUUUGCUGGUCAUUGACUGGAGCUGGGUCUUAGCGUUGAGAUGGAGAUCUCUGGGAGAGCUUUCGCCAUUUGAUAUUACAUGGAGCAGAGGUCUCUGGUGGACCUAUGUCCUGAACUCAGCUCUCCCACCUCAGAGGCACAGGCCUGACACCGGGCCAGAGCACCAAGACCCUGUCAGCCACAUGGCUGAGAAGAAAAGGGAG
rnacentral:lncRNA from 1 species